AUGACCACCCCUGGGGCUGAAGGGCAGAGCUGGGCAUGUCAUCCCUGGAUCUCAGUGAGGCCAGGAGCCGUGGGAGAGGGAGGUCCUUUAAGGACUAGAGCUACGGAGAGAUACAGUGUGAAACCACAAAUUGCAUCUAGGACACAGAGCAGCCUGGAGGAGCAGGCUCAGGGAAUGGGAGACGGACGACUGGAGAAGAACCAGCACAUGGGACAAUCUCCAAGACAUACUCUGGAGUCUAGCACUUUGAGACAAAGGUGUUGGCAGCGCCGGUUCCUUCUGAGAGCCAUGAGGGGCUUUUACAGAUGUAAUAAAGUGAAGAUGAGGUUUACUGCAGCAGGUGGGCCCUUCUCCAAUAUAACCAAUGUCCUCAGAGGAAGAGAACAGACAUAGGGGAGGACACCAAGUGACAAUGGAGGCCCAGCCUGGAGUGACGCAUCUAUAAGACAGAGAAUGCCAAGACUUGCCAACAGUAGCAGACACUAAGGAGAAGACAUGGGCUCCCCCUGGAGCCUUCGGAGGGAGCAGAGCCCUCCCGACACCUUGACUCUGAACUUCUGGCCUCCAGAACUGUGAUAAAUGAAUUCUGUUGUUUGAAGGCAAGCAGAUUGUGACCAUUUGUUACUCCAGCUCUAGAAAGCGAACACUAUGUUUCUAGGUACUGAGGUUGCAUAAUAAGUUAUCCCAAACCUGAUGAUGUAACAUAUCCAUUCAUUAUGCUCAUGGAUUCACAUAGGUUAAAAUUAGAUGAGAAACAGGUGGGCUGGCUUGUCUGGGGCUUCAGAGGCCUCUUCAUGUAAGUUCUUAAGCUUCCUCACAGCAUGGCUGCUCAUCUCCAAGGUGGCUUUCCCUGGGAGCAAGAGAGACAAGCAGAAACUGUAUGUAUAUUUUAAACCUAUCCUCAAAAGUCUUGGAGCAUCACUUCUGCUAUAUCCUGUUGGACUGAGCAGUCAUGGCCUCAAAUGCAUUUAAAUGUGGGGACACAGACCUGGCCUCUCGGUGGGGUGGGAUUUGGGGAGUGUCUUCCAUAUUGUAAGUAAAGGCACAUGGGAUAGGAGCUGCAUAUGGGAUCCUGCAUCCUAGAUGAGGGUGUGAGAACUAGGAAAGCCCCUGUUCAUCAAAGCAGUUUUGAUGCUGAGAAACUCUAGACUGCCCUGCUUGUCAAUGAGAGUUGUGUAGUAGUUACAGUGGAGGUGAGGUGAAUUCUAGGUGAGGGAUGGAUGGUCAUCUCAAAGACGAUGCACAGCUCAGUGAGAUUUUCCUGUGGGCUUGAAGUCCUAAUUCUCAGUGAGAUUUUCCUGUGGGCUCGAAGUCCUAAUUCUCAGAUUUUCCUGUGGGCUUGAUAAUUUUUAAAAGUGCCACUUUUCUUUGGGGGAAAGGUACAUAUUCAUGGCCAUUUUUCCCACUUGGUUAGGCUGAAGGGUUUAUUUUGUGCUUCUAUGAAUUUGAAAGCAAAAUCAGUUCAACCCACAUGGGAGGUCCUGGUGGCUCAUGCCUGUAAUCCCAGCACUUUGGGAGGCCGAGGUGGGAGGAUCACUUGAGUCCAGAAGUUCAAACCAGCCUGAACAACAUAGCAAGACCCCCUUUCUACAAAAAAUUAGCUGGGCAUGGUGGUGCGCGCCUGUAGUCUCAGCUACUCGGGAGGCCGAGGUGGGAGUUUGAUGGCAUCACUGUACUCCUGGGUAACAGAGUGAGAACUUGUCCCACAAAACAAAACAAAUGGAAGGGGAACUCAAAUACUCCCCAAAAAGGGAACCACAGGCUUGUACGGACUGAACUGUUCCUCCCACCCCAAUUCAUAUGUUGAAAUCCUAACCUCCUAUGCAACUGCAUUUGAGACAGGGCCUUUAAGGAGGUAAUUAAGGUUAAAUGAGGUCAUAAGGUGACAAAAUAAGACCUUGAGGCACCCCCAAAGGGGAUUUUGAAUGGUGUCUUGGGGUCAGAGGGCAAGCCUGGGCCAAGGUGCUGAGAUUAGAGUAAGGAUGGGUGAGGGCUGGGUGGGAGCUCCGAGACCUGUCUUCCUCAAAGGGAAUGUGGCCGUCCCUUUACCAUAACCAAAGUUAUGGCAAUAAAACUUUCUUCACCAAUACCCCA
rnacentral:lncRNA from 13 species